UGCUGGGUCCUCUUACCUAUUUUCAGCAGAGGGUUGUUGACCUUUAAAGUUAAUGACGAGAUCAUUUGACCAGUCACUCUUAAAGGACACACAGCUGGGUUCAGGUCCAGAUUCAGGUUCAGGUUCAGGUUCAGGUUCAGGUUCAGGUCCAGGUUCAGCAGGGUCUGGUAUCUG